GAUAGAACGUUGAAUCAGCAUCCCAGUUCGAUCCCGAAUUCAUUAAGGUCCGAUCUACAAGAUGCCACAUUCAUUGCCGGAGCAACUACAAUUAAAUUACAUUCAAAUAUUACCAUUACACAGUUAAUUACAAGUAAUAUAAGCAUUAGAUACCAUUUAUAUUCA